AUUUUAAUUCAGCGUAGUCACGACUGCCAUCUGCUUUUUAUUUUUUUAUCAAGAUUUUUAAAUAGACCUCAUACAGUCUCAAUAUUUAAUAUUUCAGAUUUCUGAAAAGGAAAGAGAUUUUCUUUCUCAAAGGGAAAAAAUAAAUACUCCCUACUGACCCCAUAAUAAUUUGGAAGGUGCUUUAAUGUCCCUUAAAGAGUAAAUAAGUGCUUUUCAUCUCACUUUUGACAGAUCUCCAAUCUGCAACGUUAAGAUGCCCACAAUGUCUAUCUUAGCAGUAAGCUGAUAUCAAGAUUGCAUGAACCCUUAGGAUGGAAGCUUUUCAGAUCAGUUUGAGUCAACUCUUCCUCUCAGGAAGAAGGUUGUGUGAAUGCGGGAGAUGCCCUAUUGCAUAACAAGAUGUAUCCAGGAAGAGAUGAGCAGUUGUUCCUCCUUCAUAUCAUCUAAAUCCAUGACCUUUCCUGCCCUCGGUUCCUCCACUAAUCAUCCCACAGAAGGUGUUGUUCAAGUGUUGUGCAAUUCCAACAUGCUCUUCAGCUGCAUACUGUACUGCAUGCCCUUAUGCAGUGAUCAGCUUCAGUCUCCCAAGUGUUAUGGCAAUGGAUAUUUUUGAUGGCUGAUAGAAUGGGAAGACUGAUAUAUACCUCAAGGAGAUUUGAUGUUGGGUGAGAACAGUGAAUAAUUUGAAUUCUACAAUUUUAAUUGCUGUAUAAUACUGUAUAUAAUCUCUAGUAUGAUUUCUUUAUGUAUGAUCAAUUCUAUUAUACUAAGAGUCACUCAGAUUAAUGAGGAAUAAAUUUUUACUAAAUUAGGCA
rnacentral:lncRNA from 1 species